UGGAGACACUGAUGCAGUGGUUCCUGUGACUGCAACUCGAUACUCCAUUGAUGCCUUGAAGCUUCCAACUAUUACCAACUAUUACAAAGUUAGACAAAGUUUUAUUGGGAAUUCUAUUGGUUGGGGAAGUGUGCUUCUCCUUCUUACCAACUGAAGCAAGAAUAGCAAGAUCAUGAGACGAAGUACAUAAUGGUCCUAUAUGUGUAUUGCCUUUCUGUGUCUCCCAGUACAUAUCAUUCUUCCUAUGUUAGUACAAAGAGCCAAAAAGGCCAUCCAUGGAUCUUGCUCUACACUGACCGCACAUUAAGGACGCUAUCUAUAAAGUCGAAAUGAAAGAGCCGGUCACCACCACCACCACCUUCCCAGCUACCAGCCACAACUAGACUGGAGGAGCAGAAUGACCGUAGGACAGCCUAUGAUUCUUUUGGUGAGACUACCGAUCCAACAUCGUUGCCUGGAAGUUUGAGUCGCAAGACUAAAGAGCAAGACGACUCUGGUGCCAGGACGACAUCUUGUACUUAUGGAAGGACUGAAGAGCAACCUUCCCUCCAUAUUGUCCUCAAUAAAAGUAAGAGAACAAUAUUGAAGGGUUUUAUGGAAGGACUCGAACAAUGGGAGCUUAUAGUGAUGCCAAGACGACAUCUUGUACUUAUUAGAACUUAUUUUUGGAUGGUUGGAACUAAAAUGUGUAAUGGGAGUAAUUGGUUUUUCCUGUAUUAUGUAUGAAAUUAAAUUAUUGACGUUGGAUUACACUUGGUUCUUAUGGAA